CCCCCCAUAUUCCCCAACAUAAAGUGUUUAAGUGAAGAUUCAAAUCACUACACGACUUACACUUAGCGAAAGGUAAAUCAAUCUUUCUGGGCGUUUGAAUACCGUUCUCCAUAUAUUAUUAAUGAGAUAAUCAGGGUUACACUCAGCCAUAAUGGUUAAAUAACAUGUCGCUGUAACAAAAUGCCCUGCUCACGCUAUAGUUAUUCCCUCGUGAACUUUUUUUUUUAUUGUUUUUUGUUUAUUUUAUUUUUAAUGUUGAAGUGGACAGAUGAAGCUCAGGCUGUGGUAGCACAGUUAAACAUGUUCUGAAGACAAGAGAGUUACAGGAGUUUAAAGAAAAAAAAAAAACAAAAAAAAAAUUCCAGUAGCUUGAGUUGUGUUGAGCUUUGCUUUUUUUAUUAUUUUCAUGUCACCUGCUGCUCUCGAUCUCACCAACACACCCGGCGAAACAGGACCGAACAUGCCCGAGAGACUGCGGCGAGACGUUACAAUCCGAUCCACCGUUCAACUAAAAGACAUUGUGUGCAGCCAUAAAACAUCUGCUUCCUCCCCCCCAAGAUCCUUCACAAGACGAGUGUCAGACUGACUCGGUGGAUACGGGCGUGUGACGUGAACUUCUGCGUGCUUUAUAAUAAAACCACUGGAGCGCUGGGAGAGAAUCGGAUUUAAAAUCAGAAACAAAGCUGGAUUUAAUACGUCAUUACGUAGUUUGGGAUGAAAGAGCUUCAGCUACUGCCUACCUCGGGUAAACAGUCGUCACUCUCUCGGACGUUAAAAAUCAUGCGAGACGUAAAAAGGAAACACCGCUUUGAAACACGUUCAACAUGUUUAUGUUAAAAUACUUAGAAAGAUUUAGGUGCUUGAUGGUGUAUUUUUGUUAAUCCUGUCAGUGGUUGUCUGCUGCGCUGAUGUCACUGCUAGUUCGGUUACAAAGGAGAAGGGGAAGAGAAAAAAAAGAAAAGAAACUCAAACAUGUAACAGGAUGUUCGUCAGGUUUUGCUCUUAGCUCCUUAAAACAAAACAAAACAAAAAAACAGCUCAUUUUCUUACUCACCAUUUUCCAGUGAAGUUCACGGAGACGAACGUUGGACUCAAAGUUCCCGAAUGCAACUACACCAGAGACUCGGCUCGAAUAAUUACUGAUCGACGAAACGACGGGAUCGAUGGCGCUCAUAGAUGAAGCUCUGUGCGCUGAUCUGUUUGCACAGAGUGUACAGAUGCUGAGGAGAGACAGUUGGACAGACUUAAAGGAUUAAAGCGCCGUGGCAUCGCUCUCUUAAGGUAGAGAUGAAGCGAGGACUGAAUCCCACCGUGAGACGAUCGGCAGGGUCGUGGGGAGCCUGGAGCCUAUCGCAAGGGACUCGGGGCACAACAUGGGGGACAACGUGGACCGGGUGCCAGUCCAUCACAGGGCACGAUCGCACACACUACGGACAAUUUGGAAAUCCCAAUCAGACUACAAGGCCUGUCUUUGGACUGGUGGUGGAAACCGGUGGAACCUGGAGGAGGAGAUCCGCAAAGCACGGGAAGAACGUGCAAACUCCCCGCACACAGGGCGGGGGGAACAGAACCCUCAAUCCUGGAGGUGCGACACGAACGUGCUAACCUAAUCACUAAGCCCCCUUUUGAAGAUCACGUGUUAAUCAUAAAGUCAUUUGAGGUGGACCCCCCUCCCCCCAACCCCCCUUAAACAGAGGCUAACGACUUACCGUUUUGGUGUGAAUCACAAACACUGCACCCGUGCAAUUUCACCGUGCUGAACAGAUCAUUAAUACCACAUCCCCUUCCUGACCCCGCCUCCUAAUAACAAUAAUAACAAUAAUAAUAAUAAUAAUAAUAAUAAUAAGGAAAGCAUUUAAAUGGAGGAGGAGGAAAAAUAUCCAGUGAUUUCUAGCAGGAGAGACGCGAGUCUUAAAUAACGUCCAUCGAAACACGUUUGCAGGAUAUACAAAAGGAGUACUGACAUAAGAAGACGGUCUUGAUGAAGAUUCCGGUUAUGAACCAAUUAACUGUGUGUAGAUUAGGAAGCUGAAGGUUUGAGGGAAUUCUUAAAAUAGGUACAUCUACAGCGUGGACACUGCCGUUAAAAAGGGAAUCUUCCUGUUGUUUGUUUUAAGGCAAUAAUGGUCAUGUUACACCCCCC
ensembl:lncRNA